GACGUAGGUCGCGAGCGUUGUCCGGAUUUAUUGGGCGUAAAGAGCUCGUAGGCGGCUCGUUGCGUCGGCUGUGAAAACCCGCAGCUCAACUGUGGGCUUGCAGCUGAUACGGGCGGGCUGGGAUUCGGUAGGGGAGACUGGAAUUCCUGGUGUAGCGGUGAAAUGCGCAGAUAUCAGGAGGAACACCGGUGGCGAAGGCGGGUCGCUGGGCCGAUAACGACGCUGAGGAGCGAAAGCGUGGGGAGCGAACAGG
rnacentral:rRNA from 1 species